GUACUCCGGGGAUAACAGGCUGAUACCGCCCAAGAGUUCAUAUCGACGGCGGUGUUUGGCACCUCGAUGUCGGCUCAUCACAUCCUGGGGCUGAAGUAGGUCCCAAGGGUAUGGCUGUUCGCCAUUUAAAGUGGUACGCGAGCUGGGUUUAGAACGUCGUGAGACAGUUCGGUCCCUAUCUGCCGUGGGCGCUGGAGAACUGAGGGGGGCUGCUCCUAGUACGAGAGGACCGGAGUGGACGCAUCACUGGUGUUCGGGUUGUCAUGCCAAUGGCACUGCCCGGUAGCUAAAUGCGGAAGAGAUAAGUGCUGAAAGCAUCUAAGCACGAAACUUGCCCCGAGAUGAGUUCUCCCUGACCCUUUAAGGGUCCUGAAGGAACGUUGAAGACGACGACGUUGAUAGGCCGGGUGUGUAAGCGCAGCGAUGCGUUGAGCUA
rnacentral:rRNA from 1 species